AGUCCACAUCGACGGGGAGGUUUGGCACCUCGAUGUCGGCUCAUCACAUCCUGGGGCUGUAGUAGGUCCCAAGGGUUGGGCUGUUCGCCCAUUAAAGUGGUACGCGAGCUGGGUUCAGAACGUCGUGAGACAGUUCGGUCCCUAUCCGUCGCAGGCGUAGGAAAUUUGAGAAGACCUGUCCUUAGUACGAGAGGACCGGGAUGGACGUACCUCUGGUGUACCAGUUGUCCUGCCAAGGGCAUGGCUGGGUAGCUAUGUACGGAAUGGAUAAGCGCUGAAAGCAUCUAAGCGCGAAGCCAACUUCAAGAUAAGAUUUCCCACCGAAAGGGUAAGACCCCAGAAAGACUAUCUGGUUGAUAGGUCGAAGGUGUAAGUGCAGCAAUGUAUUUAGCUUAUCGAUACUAAUAGGUCGAGGACUUGACCAAU
rnacentral:rRNA from 1 species